CGGCGUGCCUAACACAUGCAAGUCGUACGAGAAAGGGUCCUUCGGGGCCUGAGUAAAGUGGCGCACGGGUGAGUAACGCGUGGAUAAUCUGCCCUUCAGUUGGGAAUAACUCAUCGAAAGGUGGGCUAAUACCGAAUAAUGCCGCAUGACCCCGGUUGUGCAGCCAAAGACGGCCUCUGCUUGCAAGCUGUCGCUGAAGGAUGAGUCCGCGUACCAUUAGCUUGUUGGCAGGGUAAUGGCCUACCAAGGCGACGAUGGUUAGCUGGUCUGAGAGGAUGAUCAGCCACACUGGAACUGAGAUACGGUCCAGACUCCUACGGGAGGCAGCAGUGAGGAAUCUUGCGCAAUGGGGGAAACCCUGACGUCAGCAACGCCGCGUGAGUGAGGAAGGUCUUCGGAUCGUAAAGCUCUGUCGGUUGGGAAGAAACGCAUGGAGGCCAAUACCCUUCAUGCCUGACGGUACCAACAGAGGAAGCACCGGCUAACUCCGUG
rnacentral:rRNA from 1 species